UCUUUCUAUUAUCAUCUCUCUUUCCCUCCAACGCUCCGUAUUCUGCCAUUCCUCCCCAAAGCAAACCCCAAAUUUCACCCCAAGAACUCCAUAUCAAAUAACCCCCAAUUGUAUUUUUAAAUCCUACACUCAUGCUCUGAACCCCCAACCCUCAAGCUGGAUUUAUCGAACUCAAGUUCUAAAAAAAUGAUUUAUACUCUUUGUUACGAGUUGGUUGAUACCAUUGAUAUUACAGUGGGUUUGGAUAAUUUUUCUUUUGUUUUUAUUACCAUUUUAAAGCUUAUUGCUCUUCAUCCUUCAGCAUGCAUAUAUGCGAGUUUUUAGCCAAGUGAUGUGAAGCACGUUUUUUUUUUUCUGGCAAAAUAUUGUUAUUAUUUUCUCCUAUUUUAGUUGUCUCUUCGUCUUGGGGGUGUAUUGAUAUAUUUUUCCCCGUUUGGUUAAGUAACGGAUCUUGAGAUUACUGAGAUAUGUCAUAUGUGGAUUAAAAAUAGUGUGGUCGGAAUUCUCAUGUAAAGGAUGAUAUGUUUGUCAUGAAUAGAGAUGGGCUUGAAGAGACAACAAGCAUUCUAUCGCUGCUUGGCUAAAGAAAUUGAGUUAUUGGCUUAGCCUUUGUGACAUAUGGGAAGUCCGAAUCCGCUAUACCAUUUUUUCCUAAUGUAUAUUACUGAAUUUAUUUUAAUUUGUGUAAUUCUUUCUAACUCGAAUUUCAUUUUGGAGGGCUUAUUAUAGUGAGUUCAAAGUACAUAAUUUCCUGCGUUCACUUUUCCGACAAACAGAGAUAAUCAAACGAUAAGGUCUUCUUCAUUUGGGAGCAGGGAAAGGCUGCAAUUUUGAUGCAAACGAUGGCCCAUCUAGGAGUAAUUCUUUUGCUGGUAUACAGAUGUAAACCUUUCUCAAAGGAGAUUGUAUGAUCUAUCUCCGUCGGUGCGGUUGAAUCCAUUGUAUUUAAAGAGCAUCGAAGGAGGUAUACAAAAUAUUCAGAUGGCUUUGAAAGGCUGAUAGCUUCCUGAAACUGAUAAGGUUGAAUCCAUUGUAUUUAAAGAGCAUCGAAGGAGGCCUACAAAUAUUCAGAUUACUUAGAAAGGCUGAUAGUCUUCCUGAAACUGAUAAGAAUUCAAUCAAUCUCCAAAUGCACAUAGUGUGAUUUGGAGUUAAAGGGGAACGAAUGGGGGACGACUACAAUAAAGCUGCUUCAUAGUGCUUUCAGUGGCUCAUAUAGAGAGGAGCCAUAGUGUGUCAAUGAGGAAUAAAGGAUAAGCUAAGCUCUUGAAAAAAUAACAACGGAGAGAAGACUUUACAUAUCCUGAUCAUUCUUUAGGAAAAGCUCGCUCAUACCAAGUUAAGAAUUCCAUAUUUGGGUUUUAGGAGCAUUGUGGCAGGCAAAAGUGAGUGGAAAGUCACUUGAAAAUGUUAGUUGUCAGGCUCUAAUCCUAUUUAAACAAGUUGCAGCAGCACACUCAAACAUUCUGUCAAGGAAGGAAAAUGAAGUAGUCCAGAUAAUAGGGUUUGCAAUGAAAUUUACAAGACUGGACAACUUAAUAGCAAUCAGUUUUGAGCAACUAUAGAGUUCUGCAAUAAAAUUUGACGAGCUGAAAAAGAUGCAGUUACUCAUUCUCUUAGAUAGGUUGUGGAAAAAUAUUAUUUCAUCUUUUUAUUUUUUGUGGAAUAUCAUAAAUAAUAGUAUAUUAUACAUGUAUUGUAUAGGAAAUCUUCUAAUUUUCUCUGUUUAGGUUC